GCGGGGAUGGAGCAACGGCGGCUCGAAAGGCUCAUAACCUUUACAUCAGCGGGUACCGCUACGCGGAAGCAAGCUACAAUUCCCGCCCCCGUCA
rnacentral:tRNA from 1 species